AUGGCUUUGGUCCAACGGUUUGGAAAGCCAGAUUUAUUUUUAACAAUGACGUGCAACCCAAGUUGGGAAGAGAUAAUAAAAGAACUCUCACCAGGCCAAUCAGCACAAGACCGACCAGACUUGGUAGCACGGGUCAUUAAGGCAAAAUUAGAGGAUCUGAAAAAGCUUCUAUUCAAGAAGAAAUUCUUUGGUGAGGUUGCUGCUUACGUGUAUGUGAUUGAAUUUCAAAAAAGGGGACUGCCUCAUGCACAUUUCUUGAUAAUCCUGAAGUCAAGUUACAAAAUAAACAGCCCUGACCAGUAUGACCAUAUUAUAUCCACUGAAAUUCCUGAUAAGGAUAAGUACCCUGUGCUGCAUGAUUUAGUUAUUAAACACAUGAUGCAUGGUCCGUGUGGUGUUAUCAAUAGUUAA
rnacentral:rRNA from 1 species